rnacentral:piRNA from 1 species
UUAGCGCAGGGAAAAGCUCACUAAGGGCUCUU